UCCGUAAGCGGGUAAUUAAGUCAGAGGUGAAAUCCCACAGCUUAACUGUGGAACUGCCUUAGAUACUGGUUAUCUUGAGUUUUAGUGAAGUAGAUAGAAUGUGUAGUGUAGCGGUGAAAUGCAUAGAUAUUACACAGAAUACCGAUUGCGAAGGCAGUCUACUAACUAACAACUGACGCUAAUGGACGAAAGCGUGGGGAGCGAACAGGAUUAGAUACCCUGGUAGUCC
rnacentral:rRNA from 1 species